GAUGAACGCUGGCGGCGUGCUUAACACAUGCAAGUCGAACGAUGAAGCCCAGCUUGCUGGGUGGAUUAGUGGCGAACGGGUGAGUAACACGUGAGUAACCUGCCCUUAACUCUGGGAUAAGCCUGGGAAACUGGGUCUAAUACCGGAUAGGAGCGCCUACCGCAUGGUGGGUGUUGGAAAGAUUUAUCGGUUUUGGAUGGACUCGCGGCCUAUCAGCUUGUUGGUGAGGUAAUGGCUCACCAAGGCGACGACGGGAAGCCGGCCUGAGAGGGUGACCGGCCACACUGGGACUGAGACACGGCCCAGACUCCUACGGGAGGCAGCAGUGGGGAAUAUUGCACAAUGGGCGAAAGCCUGAUGCAGCGACGCCGCGUGAGGGAUGACGGCCUUCGGGUUGUAAACCUCUUUCAGUAGGGAAGAAGCGAAAGUGACGGUACCUGCAGAAGAAGCACCGGCUAACUACGUG
rnacentral:rRNA from 1 species